rnacentral:lncRNA from 1 species
CUUGCUUGCAACGUGAGCAGAAGCAGAGACCGCAGCAGCUUUUGGCAGUUAGUCAGUGAAGUGUGGCGGGUUUCUCGGGUUGCAGCCCCCUGGCUGGGAGGCACAGGAAAUCAGUUCACCAACUCUAGCUGCUGCAGCUAUGGGUGCAGNGUUGCUGGUGGUCUGAAGCUCCGUCACCAAGAUGUUUAGGCUUUGCAAUUUACUUGGGUUUGACACCUUCAGAAAAGAAAACCAUCCCUCCUUCUUACUGACAGCUCCUAAGGCAAUAAAGUAAGAUGGAUUCAGUUUCUCAGUUUAAUGCUUUGUAUCUUGCACUUCGAAAAAGCCUUCUUUUGAACAGUCCCUUCUUUUCCCCUAUGGGUUGUUAAAUAAAAGCCCAGAAGGCAACUGCAUUCCGAACAGACAGCAAGUCGAGAGUUAACCUUGAAGAUCAAAGGCCAGUCUUUGAAUUCUUUCAAGAAAUUGUUGCAAACAAAAUUCGGAAGCAAUGAAGCAGCAGUGAGCAUUAGUGCAGAAUGCAGCAAGUAGCCUGAGGAACACAAAACCAACCACUAUCUUGUGCGCAGUGUACUUUGUGGGGAAAAUCUGUUUAUGGCUUCAUCCUUGGAGGACGGGACGGCCAAGACCUUGUUCUCUGCGUUUGCUGCUGCAGUACUUGUUGCUGCAUCUGCCUGCCUCAUGGUGCUGUGCACCCUCUGCAAAAGGAAAGACAAGAAUGAGACUCUUCCGCAGAAUGGGGUGAUGCCGAAUGAAACCUCUCUGCUGAGACAGAUGGAAUCCUCAUCGCUCAGGGGAUCGGCCCCCAACUUGCAGAAGUGCCAGAGGGCAAAUUCCAAGAAGAAAAGUA